CAGUAGCCGCGGUAAUACGAGGGGGGCAAGCGUUGUUCGGAAUUAUUGGGCGUAAAGGGUGCGUAGGCGGCUUGACAAGUCUUGUGUGAAAUCUAUGGGCUCAACCCAUAGUCUGCACGGGAAACUGUCGGGCUUGAGAAUGGGAGAGGUGAGUGGAAUUUCCGGUGUAGCGGUGAAAUGCGUAGAUAUCGGAAGGAACACCUGUGGCGAAAGCGGCUCACUGGACCAUUUCUGACGCUGAUGCACGAAAGCUAGGGGAGCAAACAGGAUUAGAUACCCGAGUAGUCCCUGUCUCUUAUAC
rnacentral:rRNA from 1 species